GGCAAGAUGGCCGAGAGGUUUAAGGCGGCAGUUUUAAGCACUGCUGGGGCAACCUUCGUGGGUUCGAAUCCCACUCUUGUCA